GGGCUCGUAGUUCAAUGGUCGAAUGCGCCCUUGGCUAGGGUGAGGUUCCGGGUUCGAAUCCCGGCGAGUCCA
rnacentral:tRNA from 1 species